UUGAAAACCAGAGCUCAUCCCAUGCAUUACUACUUACUUGAAUGAAUGGAACACAUCACCAUUUGGGUUAUAAAUACCCAGAUUCUAAUGCUUGUUGUGUUAAUUUAAAGAUGAAGUGCUUUCCGGCUUUCCCCCUCCUUGUGCUGUUUUUCUUAGUUCUUUCAAGUGGUACUACGUUGGGAGAGGCACAAAGCUGUUCGGAACCUACUCUCCAUAUUCUGUACUGCACAAAGCAGACAUGCGUCCAAAGCUGCGUUGAAACACAUGGCCGAAGUAUUAAUGGUGGGUGCAUCGAUGAGAAUACUUGCUGUUGCCUCGAUGUUUCAAUAUAUGAAAUCAAAUAAUAGAGGAAAUUCCAACUCUUUCGAAAUAAGGAAAUAGUUAUACAUUGUUCGUGUGUACUUUUCCAUCUGUAAUCCUUGAAAAAUUCAAAUGAAUUGCUCAGAAGUUCUUCUCUAAUGUUUUUUUGCCUUCUUCGAUCUCGAAGGAAUUAGUAAAAAGUAGCUUACUUCUUGAUUUCUUUAUGACAA